AUGCAACAUCUACUGGCUGGAUGCUCGUUUUCGCGGCAAGUCUGGCAUGAGAUCCUUUCCUGGUGUCACGCCACUGCCGCCCUCCCUAACCCGGACUGCGAGUUCCGCGAGUGGUUCUCUGCUGCCAUUCAUGGCUCCCCGACUGCCCUUCGCCGAGGGUUCGCCACCAUCAUCAUCCUUACCACCUGGAGACUCUGGAAGCACCGCAAUGACUGUGUGUUCAACGCCGCCAACCCCUCUAUCUCCAGACUCUCUGACAGCAUCAAGAAGACGCCCGCGCUUGGGUGCGCGCCGGGGCCAAGGGGCUUGGCCAGAUUAUCGAUGAGACGUAGGAUGCUAUGUUAG
rnacentral:rRNA from 1 species